CAGUGGAUCCAGUUGUCUGAGGCCUUCAUGGCCAAGGGUCACCAAAAAGGUAUACCCUUUACCCUUCUUGAAGAAUUCGUGGCCCACCAGGCAACAUUGUGCAACAACCCCUGGAUCUGUGGACUCAGGGCUGUUAGUCCUCUGAAUGAAAAAAGAUACAACAGCAACUAUAUAUUGUCCACAGGACCUAUGCACACUGCAAGGGGAAAACCCUUCAUGUCAGUGCUCAAAAUGGAGA